rnacentral:ncRNA from 1 species
GCGGUUUUAGCUGCAGUUCAGGAUAAUAGGGAACCGGGUGGGAAUCCCGGACGAUCCCGUCGCUGUAUACGCGGAGCAUUUUUUUCAGCCGGAAGGCGGUCACUGUGGAAAUGGGAAGACGAGAAAAUGUGAGGAUGCGCAAGUCAGAAGACCUGCCUUUUUAUUU